rnacentral:rRNA from 1 species
ACACAUGCAGUCGAACGAUGAAGCCCAGCUUGCUGGGUGGAUUAGUGGCGAACGGGUGAGUAACACGUGAGUAACCUGCCCUUGACUCUGGGAUAAGCCUGGGAAACUGGGUCUAAUACCGGAUAGGAACGUCCACCGCAUGGUGGUUGUUGGAAAGAUUUAUCGGUCAUGGAUGGACUCGCGGCCUAUCAGCUUGUUGGUGAGGUAAUGGCUCACCAAGGCGACGACGGGUAGCCGGCCUGAGAGGGUGACCGGCCACACUGGGACUGAGACACGGCCCAGACUCCUACGGGAGGCAGCAGUGGGGAAUAUUGCACAAUGGGCGAAAGCCUGAUGCAGCGACGCCGCGUGAGGGAUGACGGCCUUCGGGUUGUAAACCUCUUUCAGUAGGGAAGAAGCGAAAGUGACGGUACCUGCAGAAGAAGCACCGGCUAACUACGUGCCAGCAGCCGCGGUAAUACGUAGGGUGCGAGCGUUAUCCGGAAUUAUUGGGCGUAAAGAGCUCGUAGGCGGUUUGUCGCGUCUGUCGUGAAAGUCCGGGGCUUAACCCCGGAUCUGCGGUGGGUACGGGCAGACUAGAGUGCAGUAGGGGAGACUGGAAUUCCUGGUGUAGCGGUGGAAUGCGCAGAUAUCAGGAGGAACACCGAUGGCGAAGGCAGGUCUCUGGGCUGUAACUGA